rnacentral:rRNA from 1 species
AAUGAACGUUGGCGGCGUGGAUUAGGCAUGCAAGUCGGGCGAGAAAUUUCCUUCGGGAAAUGGACAGCGGCGGAAGGGAGAGGAAUAAGUAGAAAUCUGCCCUCGGGACGGGGAUAGCGGUGGGAAACUGCCGGUAAUACCCGAUAACAUCUUUGGAUCAAAUGGUGUGAUUCCGCCUGAGGAUGAGUCUACUUCCUAUUAGCUAGUUGGUGGGGUAAUGGCCUACCAAGGCAACGAUGGGUAGCGGGUGUGAGAGCACGACCCGCCUCACUGGGACUGAGACACUGCCCAGACACCUACGGGUGGCUGCAGUCGAGAAUCUUCGGCAAUGGGGGAAACCCUGACCGAGCGACGCCGCGUGCGGGAUGAAGGCCCUUGGGUUGUAAACCGCUGUCGUAAGGGAACAAAUCCAUAGGGGUACUCCCCUAUGGUUGAGUGAUCUUAGGAGGAAGGACGGGCUAAGUUCGUG